rnacentral:rRNA from 1 species
CCCUUAGAUGUUCUGGGCCGCACGCGCGCUACACUGACGGAGUCAACGAGUUGUCCUGCAUCGGAAGGUGUGGGUAAUCUUUUGAAACUUCGCCGUGCUGGGGAUAGAUCUUUGCAAUUUUCGAUCUUGAACGAGGAAUUCCUAGUAAGCGUGAUUCAUCAGAUCGCGUUGAUUACGUCCCUGCCCUUUGUACACACCGCCCGUCGCUACUACCGAUUGAAUGGUUUAGUGAGGCCUCGGGACUGGCGCGCUCGAGUAGCAAUACACCUGCGCGCCGGGAACUUGGUCAAACUUGAUCAUUUAGAGGAAGUAAAAGUCGUANCA